rnacentral:rRNA from 1 species
AUUGAACGCUGGCGGCAGGCCUAACACAUGCAAGUCGAGCGGAUGAAGGGAGCUUGCUCCUGGAUUCAGCGGCGGACGGGUGAGUAAUGCCUAGGAAUCUGCCUGGUAGUGGGGGAUAACGUCCGGAAACGGGCGCUAAUACCGCAUACGUCCUGAGGGAGAAAGUGGGGGAUCUUCGGACCUCACGCUAUCAGAUGAGCCUAGGUCGGAUUAGCUAGUUGGUGGGGUAAAGGCCUACCAAGGCGACGAUCCGUAACUGGUCUGAGAGGAUGAUCAGUCACACUGGAACUGAGACACGGUCCAUACUCCUAAGGGAGGCAGCAGUGGGGAAUAUUGGACAAUGGGCGAAAGCCUGAUCCAGCCAUGCCGCGUGUGUGAAGAAGGUCUUCGGAUUGUAAAGCACUUUAAGUUGGGAGGAAGGGCAGUAAGUUAAUACCUUGCUGUUUUGACGUUACCAACAGAAUAAGCACCGGCUAACUUCGUG